rnacentral:tRNA from 1 species
AAAGGUGUAGCUCAGUGGUAGAGGGUGUGCUUAGCAUGCAUGAGGUCCUGGGUUCAAUCCCCAGUACCUCCA